AGAGGCUUAGGAUAACACCAGACCAAGGGCCUUCAAAGCCCUAAGUGGGAGUGAAAAUCUCUCAGCCUCUG
rnacentral:tRNA from 1 species